rnacentral:rRNA from 1 species
GACGAACGCUGGCGGCGUGCUUAACACAUGCAAGUCGAGCGGUAAGGCCCUUUCGGGGGUACACGAGCGGCGAACGGGUGAGUAACACGUGGGUGACCUGCCCUCAGCUCUGGGAUAAGCCUGGGAAACCGGGUCUAAUACCGGAUAUGACUCCAUGACGCAUGUUGUGGGGUGGAAAGCCUUGUGCGGCUGAGGAUGGGCCCGCGGCCUAUCAGCUUGUUGGUGGGGUGAUGGCCUACCAAGGCGACGACGGGUAGCCGGCCUGAGAGGGCGACCGGCCACACUGGGGACUGAGACACGGCCCAGACUCCUACGGGAGGCAGCAGUGGGGAAUCUUGCGCAAUGGGCGAAAGCCUGACGCAGCGACGCCGCGUGGGGAUGAAGCUUC